UUCUGUGGGUCCAGAUGGCUUUGUCCAAAGAUUACUCCAGUUGUCCAGGAGCUCUGCUCCUGUCUCCUGCUGCUGAGUCUGGGGCCACAUGAUUCUUUGCAUAAGGAAAGUCUACUGCAAAACCUUUGGCUCAGGAAAACAGGAAGCAGCUGACGAAUGAAGCGGCAAUGAUGCUUGCAGGUAACAGAGCCUGAAGGGGCUCUUCCGGAGGGCUGCAACAAGCUUCCUUUUGCUUCUGUGCAUCGGAAAGAAGAGCCCGGAUUUCCCUGAGCGACUCUCUAGAGCCAGCUGGCAAAGAGGAGGAAACUGACGCCCUAGGUAAAGGCCACACAGGAAAUAAAUAUGAGAGGUGAGAUUCGAACCCAGAUCCUUGGCUUGAGCACUUGUGCCUUUCCCUCUGUCACCAUGCCUGCAAGGACAAUGUCUGUCUUUUGUUCUCAGAGGACCAAGACAUCAGGGAGAUGGCGCUAUGACCUACAAGUGACUUGGAUUUAAGUGAGGGAGACUUUGCAAAGUCACCAGCCUCACUUUCUCUUCCCUCUGGGUCGGGAGGUCUCCCCCUCCCCCCACAAGGGACACAUAACGCAAAACACCUUGGAGUUGUUGUGGUUUUCUGUUUGCUUCUAGAAUGGAGAAGGUCAAACAUAAAACUCAAAUGAGGAAGAGGAAGAGGAAGCCCUCGGGCAGUCAUUACAACUAAUACUGAAGAACUUAGGUUAUACAUUAAGAUCAGUUCAGGGAGCAAGCCCACGGGGACGGGCGAGACAAAGAAAAGGAGAAUAAAUUACCAUAAUGUUGUGGGAGGGGAGAUUCAGGCCGACAGAAAAAGGAGAAAGUAAAGAUUCAGAGGCGCAGACAGAGAGAGACUUCCCCCCAGGGUAUACACGCCUAUGUAGGGAGGGCUGAGAGGUGGGGUGGGGGUGGGGAUGUUGGCAGGACAAAGUCGCGGAGUUCCCCCUCCUCCUCUGGUCUGUCCAAGGGAAGUUCCCAGAGGGUGGUUUUCGGUGUGGCCAGGGGCCCGACACUCAAACCAGUGCCUGAGCUCCUCCGUUUGGGAGCCCCGGAGGAUGCAGAACGCAAGGUGGCUGCCCAUCCCUGGUGACUUGGGUUUCUGGCUUCUCAUAAGUCCACUCCCAGGGCCCACCCAAUGGACUGGCGGCCUUAAUUUCUUCUGACACCAGCGGCGCCCAAUGUCCCCUGGACAUGCCUUGCUCUUGCCAUGUGACCAGCCCAACUUUUCUUCCUAGCCUAACAUUCCUCAAUGACAGAAGGUGCCCUUACUCCUGUCUUCAUUCGUAGUUCCUGAGUUGUGAGGGUCACCCACCCCCCACCUUUCUCCACCCCCUGCGUGAUGCUCAUUUUGAGCUCUUCCAAGGUAGUGGGGUUCCUGCCUCUUUGUUUAGUAACUCGGGUAAAAUGUUUGUCCUUUUUACUAAAUCCAAACUGAAUUGAAAUCCAAAAAAACCCCCAAACUGAAUCCAAAUAAAAGUGAAUUGGGUCAAAAGGCUGCACUUAAGAAUCUAGAAGGCCACAUGUGGCCUCAAGGCCACAGGUUUUCCACCCCUGGUUUGUCCUGAAAAGAUGGGCCCUGGCUAGUAUGGGAAGUUCAGGGUCAGGAAAGAUGUUUUGACAUUUCUCACAAAUUAAUCCAGCCCACUUUCCUCUUCCUUUUAAAAAUAUAUUUUUUUCAAUGAACAAAAACCUGUUUUUCUUGCU